AACGAACGCUGGCGGCAGGCCUAACACAUGCAAGUCGAGCGCCCCGCAAGGGGAGCGGCGGACGGGUGAGUAACGCGUGGGAACGUACCCUUUUCUGCGGAAUAGCCCAGGGAAACUUGGAUUAAUACCGCAUACGCCCUUCGGGGGAAAGAUUUAUCGGAGAAGGAUCGGCCCGCGUUGGAUUAGGUAGUUGGUGGGGUAAUGGCCUACCAAGCCGACGAUCCAUAGCUGGUUUGAGAGGAUGAUCAGCCACACUGGGACUGAGACACGGCCCAGACUCCUACGGGAGGCAGCAGUGGGGAAUCUUCGGCAAUGGGCGCAAGCCUGACCGAGCCAUGCCGCGUGAGCGAUGAAGGCCUUAGGCUUGUAAAGCUCUUUCGCCAGGGAUGAUAAUGACAGUACCUGGUAAAGAAACCCCGGCUAACUCCGUGCCAGCCGCCGCCGUAAAAC
rnacentral:rRNA from 1 species